rnacentral:rRNA from 1 species
UACGGAGGGUGCAAGCGUUAUCCGGAUUCACUGGGUUUAAAGGGUGCGUAGGCGGGCAGGUAAGUCCGUGGUGAAAUCUCUGAGCUUAACUCAGAAACUGCCAUGGAUACUAUUUGUCUUGAAUAUUGUGGAGGUAAGCGGAAUAUGUCAUGUAGCGGUGAAAUGCUUAGAUAUGACAUAGAACACCAAUUGCGAAGGCAGCUUACUACACAGUUAUUGACGCUGAGGCACGAAAGCUAGGGUAGCAAACGGG